AGGAAGAAAGAGAUGUGAGGGAAGGAAGGAAUGAAGGAAAGAGAGGGGGAGGAAAGAAGGAAGGAAGGAAGGGAGGGAAGGAGGUAAGGAUCGAAGGAAGAAAGAGAUGUGAGGGAAGGAAGGAAUGAAGGAAAGAGAGGGGGAGGAAAGAAGGAAGGAAGGAAGGGAGGGAAGGAGGUAAGGAUGGAAGGAAGAAAGAGAUGUGAGGGAAGGAAGGAAUGAAGGAAAGAGAGGGAGAGGAAAGAAGGAAGGAAGGAAGGAAGGGAGGGAGGGAGGUAAGGAUCGAAGGAAGAAAGAGAUGUGAGGGAAGGAAGGAAUGAAGGAAAGAGAGGGAGAGGAAAGAAGGAAGGAAGGGAGGGAGGGAAGGAUCGAAGGAAGAAAGAGAUGUAAGGGAAGGAAGGAAUGAAGGAAAGAGAGGG